UUUCUUGAGGAGCUGUUGUUGCUCUAUAUUAAACUUACUCCGAUUUUCUUGAAUCAUGACUUCUUACCUCUCUACUCUGGCUGAUCCUUCAUCAGCUCAAACGGUACCUGUAAAAUACAUCCUUUUGCCAAGUUUCUGUCAAAGAAACUUGCUUUAUUCUACUACUUC